CCAUGUUUGUGAAAACAAACCAAGAAUCUCUGAACGGGAUGUAAUCAACCUCCCAUCUACUGAGAAACACUGCAAAAAUGACUUCAGCUGCCAAAAAUAAUAAUGUCGUUUACAAGCAGCUCUUCCUAGGUCUAAGGAAGAACUAGCCACACAUGUGAGUUUACGCUGGAUUCCGACGAGCAAGCAAAGAGGGCAAAGCUUACCUCCCUCCCAUAAAAUACACAGUAUCGGAACCCACGGGAAGCUGGGGCCCGUUUCCAAGGUGCUGGCAAUAUUGAGGGAGAUUCGUAUCCACAGAAAUCUAAACAGAGGGUACUUUAAAGGCACUGAUGAAUGAGAAGCCAUCCUGUCAAGCUGGCUGGGACCAGAUUAAAUCCAAUGAGGCUGACACUAACUUGGGGGUCAAAUAUCACUGGUAAGUGGCAUAAAAUGCUUCAAAGUAUUCCUGUGCUUGUGCAGUUGCUCUAAGGACUUAAAGAGGGAAAUCUUAAAGCAACAUGCUCUGAUCAGGAAACAGCUGGCAAUGGCAGCGACCUGAUAUGGAGCCAUCAAGAACUGAAGGUUUAUUUUGAAUGAGAGGUGUUGUCCAGCUGUGAGACUGAGUGAUGGCAGCUGA
rnacentral:lncRNA from 1 species